rnacentral:rRNA from 1 species
GACGAACGCUGGCGGCGUGCCUAAUACAUGCAAGUUGGGCGCUGAAGGUUGGUACUUGUACCAACUGGAUGAGCAGCGAACGGGUGAGUAACGCGUGGGGAAUCUGCCUUUGAGCGGGGGACAACAUUUGGAAACGAAUGCUAAUACCGCAUAAAAACUUUAAACACAAGUUUUAAGUUUGAAAGAUGCAAUUGCAUCACUCAAAGAUGAUCCCGCGUUGUAUUAGCUAGUUGGUGAGGUAAAGGCUCACCAAGGCGAUGAUACAUAGCCGACCUGAGAGGGUGAUCGGCCACAUUGGGACUGAGACACGGCCCAAACUCCUACGGGAGGCAGCAGUAGGGAAUCUUCGGCAAUGGACGAAAGUCUGAACGAGCAACGCCGCGUGAGUGAAGAAGGUUUUCGGAUCGUAAAACUCUGUUGGUAGAGAAGAACGUUGGUGAGAGUGGAAAGCUCAUCAAGUGACGGUAACUACCCAGAAAGGGACGGCUAACUACGUG